UACAGAGGGUGCGAGCGUUAAUCGGAGUUACUGGGCGUAAAGGGCGCGUAGGUGGUUGUGUGAGUGUGAUGUGAAAGCCCCGGGCUUAACCUGGGAAGUGCAUCGCAAACGACAUAACUGGAGUAUAUGAGAGGGUAGCGGAAUUUCCGGUGUAGCGGUGAAAUGCGUAGAGAUCGGAAGGAACGUCAAUGGCGAAGGCAGCUACCUGGCAUAAUACUGACACUGAGGCGCGAAAGCGUGGGGAUCGAACAGG
rnacentral:rRNA from 1 species